rnacentral:rRNA from 1 species
UUUUUAUGGAGAGUUUGAUCCUGGCUCAGAGUGAACGCUGGCGGCGUGCCUAAUACAUGCAAGUCGAACGAUGAAGCUCUAGCUUGCUAGAGUGGAUUAGUGGCGCACGGGUGAGUAAUGCAUAGAUAACAUGCCCUUUAGUCUAGGAUAGCCAUUGGAAACGAUGAUUAAUACUGGAUACUCCUUACGAGGGAAAGUUUUUCGCUAAAGGAUUGGUCUAUGUCCUAUCAGCUUGUUGGUGAGGUAAUGGCUCACCAAGGCUAUGACGGGUAUCCGGCCUGAGAGGGUGAACGGACACACUGGAACUGAGACACGGUCCAGACUCCUACGGGAGGCAGCAGUAGGGAAUAUUGCUCAAUGGGGGAAACCCUGAAGCAGCAACGCCGCGUGGAGGAUGAAGGUUUUCGGAUUGUAAACUCCUUUUGUUAGAGAAGAUAAUGACGGUAUCUAACGAAUAAGCACCGGCUAACUCCGUGCCAGCAGCCGCGGUAAUACGGAGGGUGCAAGCGUUACUCGGAAUCACUGGGCGUAAAGAGCGCGUAGGCGGGAUAGCAAGUCAGAUGUGAAAUCCUAUGGCUUAACCAUAGAACUGCAUUUGAAACUGUUAUUCUAGAGUAUGGGAGAGGUAGGUGGAAUUCUUGGUGUAGGGGUAAAAUCCGUAGAGAUCAAGAGGAAUACUCAUUGCGAAGGCGACCUGCUAGAACAUAACUGACGCUGAUGCGCGAAAGCGUGGGGAGCAAACAGGAUUAGAUACCCUGGUAGUCCACGCCCUAAACGAUGAAUGCUAGUUGUUGUGGAGCUUGUCUCUGCAGUAAUGCAGCUAACGCAUUAAGCAUUCCGCCUGGGGAGUACGGUCGCAAGAUUAAAACUCAAAGGAAUAGACGGGGACCCGCACAAGCGGUGGAGCAUGUGGUUUAAUUCGAAGAUACACGAAGAACCUUACCUAGGCUUGACAUUGAUAGAAUCCGCUAGAGAUAGUGGAGUGCUAGCUUGCUAGAACUUGAAAACAGGUGCUGCACGGCUGUCGUCAGCUCGUGUCGUGAGAUGUUGGGUUAAGUCCCGCAACGAGCGCAACCCUCGUCCUUAGUUGCUAGCAGUUCGGCUGAGCACUCUAAGGAGACUGCCUUCGUAAGGAGGAGGAAGGUGAGGACGACGUCAAGUCAUCAUGGCCCUUACGCCUAGGGCUACACACGUGCUACAAUGGGGCGCACAAAGAGGAGCAAUAUCGCGAGGUGGAGCAAAUCUCAAAAACGUCUCUCAGUUCGGAUUGUAGUCUGCAACUCGACUACAUGAAGCUGGAAUCGCUAGUAAUCGUGAAUCAGCCAUGUCACGGUGAAUACGUUCCCGGGUCUUGUACUCACCGCCCGUCACACCAUGGGAGUUGUAUUCGCCUUAAGUCGGGAUACUAAAUUGGUUACCGCCCACGGCGGAUGCAGCGACUGGGGUGAAGUCGUAACAAGGUAACCGUAGGUGAACCUGCGGUUGGAUCACCUCCUUUCUA